AAGUCAGUGAAAAGGGGCUUUGCAAAAUCAAAAGUUCUUAAUGCUGUGACCAAAGACAGUUUCCACAGAAUGCCAGAGGCACCUCAGAGUGCUUGUUUUUCUGAGGAGAUACAGGC
rnacentral:snoRNA from 1 species